UCAUACCUCUAUUUCUUAUGACAACAACACCUAGAAGGAAUGAUUAUUCUCUCCGUGUCACAGAAGAGAAUACCGAAGAAGGCAAUGUGUCAAGGUCAUGCAGCUUGGAGGUUUGGCAGAUUCCAGAGGCUGAGCACAUCAUGCCUGUGCUGUGGAAUCACUGGCUCUGGGGAAGACAGCUGUUGUGUUGUGUUGUGGAGACACCAAAGAAGCCCCACAGAAAGGACCACGUAGCAAGGAACCAAGGCCACCUGCCAGUAGCCAGUGAGGAACUAAGUCCUCGUGCCAUGGCAGAAAUCGAUGCUGUGGAGGAAAAGAGAAAGUGUCAAUGCCGUGGGCUCCCAGCUCCUGUGUCCACAGCACUUGGGGGACAAGCUGGAAGCACGAAGAAGGAGUCAGACUCAUCUUGGAUACCUAACCCCCACAGCGCCUGGGGAGAACUGAGCCCUCCAUCACCCUGGCCCACUAGACAGAGAGGAAACAGCCCAGGGAGAUGAAAAGGGCUUCUCCAGGAGCCUCUCUGAGAUGUUUGCAAAGCUUGCAUGAAAACCCAGGCGAUGGAGCCUGGAGCUUCCUCUUCGAACACCACAGUGCUGACAAGUGCUGAGCCAGCCAUUCUGUCCUUUCCUGCUUCCCUGUCCUGUCCCUCUUCUUCAGUUCCAGCCACCAAGGACCAUUUCUAAGUCCUCCAAGGAAGAGAGAUGCAGAGACUUAGUCAUGCCGACCCAAACCUUCGCAUGGUCCCGUCCUACAAAUAGAGACCAACUGGUUCCCCAAUUAUCAGUGAGAGAACAGAGGAAACCAGAGGUGAGGGUAUCACUUCAGUUGGAGAAAUUUUUAUCCUAGGGAAUUGUUCAUAGACACUCGCCUGGUGGCAAGUAGUCCCCUGGGCCUUCUAAAAUGCCAGGGAAACUCCUGUCAAUUGGGCCUCGCUUAAGGGCUCUGCUUUCCAAAGGUGGAGAGUAAGAAGCAAAGGGAGUUUCUUCUCCGAGGGACUCUUGCUUCCUGGCCCAUCUGGCUGGGCUCAGGGUCUAGAUCCAAAGGGAAAAGGGAGCCCAGACUGAAGCUCUGGGCCCCUUUCGUAAAGAGAGAGGGGAACAGUUAAUAACCCACAAAUGACUCACAAAUAACAGGAAAGCUGUUUGCAAACAUGUAAAUGCCUAGCAGCCUCCCCCACUCCCCGCUCAGAAAGAAAGGAGCAAGAGACAGAACUCUAGCGCCUUCGGAGAGUCCUCCCGCCAGGCUGUCUCUGCUUCUCCGGGUGUGAGUGGGAAGAGGCUGCCGAGCCCCGAGGGGAAGAGCCGAUCCGCACUCACACAGCGCCGCAGUCUCAGCCGGAGGGUCUUCAGCUUUUCUCCCAGGGAGUUCACGUGCUGUUUGAUGUCCGGGUCCUCGUUCUCAGCCUGGGGCAUCACCUCCUCCAAGUAAAACUGGAUCAUCUCGGACAAGGCUUGGCAACCCAGCAAAGGAAGCAGACCCAGCUCCCGGCCUCCCUUCUCUGAGUCAGGCUGCAAGCUCGCCUCCCACACGCCCCCCCGGGCCCUCACCUUAAAGUCCUCCAGCAAGGACCUAGUCAACAAUAUGCUGUGCAGCUCGUCCUUGGUUUGCUGCAAGAAGAACAAAAGGAGAGUGAGCCCGAGGUUUGAGGAAAUAACUGAAAUAAAUGUCUUUCUGAUGCCCUCUUAUUUAUAGAGCUUCUGAGUUUUCAUUAGUGCAGGAAAGGAGAUUUUCAAAACAAGGACAUUCAACAGUGCUGGAACCCUUAGUUAAAUCGGGUCCCUUAGUUACAUCAGGAUCAAGUUAUUUUUAAAAUUCGGCCAGGUUUUGAAGCCAAGGCCGAAGCUUGACUCGGUCCUGCUCUCCUUUCUGCAGAGCUGGAUCGGGUUCAAAGGGGCCACCCACACCCACUUAAGUGCUCUUUGCUGUUCUUUUCUCCUCGCUGCGGACAUCCAGCGGCAGCUUUGAAAGCCGUCUGGAGAUGGGAUGCAUCUCAUGCAGGUUUCCCCUCUGUACGGCUCUUGCCCAAGCCAUCAGGCUUUGCCUGGUUCUGGAAGCCCGCUCGGCUGAGGCCAUUUAUGUUUCCCUGCCACAAGGUUUGGGGGACAUCUUCAUCUUCAGUCGGACCCUUUGUGAUUUCUCCCAUGUCUCUAAGCAUAGGAGUCCCAGUGCAUUUGCCUGGGAGGUGGCUUUUCCCCCCCGCACAUUUGUUGCAUCACCUGGGCUUAGCUUAACUCACUCCAUCUAGGGCUCGACCUGGGACUCCUUAAGAAUUGAAGUCUGAGGGGAAUGGAUCCCGGGGAUGGAGGUGAAUGAGAAGGAGGGUUCUUGGAGCUCCAGCAGAAUGCCUGGCUGAGGUGGUCCCGGCAAGGAAGGAAGGACAGGAGGGCAUUCAUACUCACAAAGAACGUCUUCACCUUGCCGAAGGCAGCUCGGAGCUCUCGGAGCAUGUGGGGCAGGCUGACUGAGAAGUGGGUGCAGUUGUCCUCAGACAGGGUGCUCUGGUGUCGGCUGGCUCCUACCCCGGCCAGGAAGACCAGGAAACACAGAAGUGCUGGGCUGGGCAUGGCGAAGCUCUGCCUUCUGAGAGUUGGCCUUGUGGUUUGGUGUCACAAGAGAGAGCCCCUGGUGUGCAGACCUUCACCUACUGUGUCCCCCUUUUAUAUUGUGGGUUCGGCGAGGCCUCCCCAUUCAUAAAAAGCCACAGUCACAGGUUUCCUGGCAAACAGCCCCUCCCUUCCCUCGAGCUCUCCAACUUUGCAUUCGCUGAACUUAAAGUUGUUAAUUUUUUUUUUUUUUUGCAUCGUAAGCAACACGGAUUGUUGAAUAAUGAGCUUUUGCAUUACAGCUAUUUUUAGGACGAGCUACCUCUCUCUCUCUCUCUCUCUGUUUUAAAAUAACUUUCCAGCUUUUCUUAAUAAAAAAAGAAGUUGAUUUCCUGGG